rnacentral:rRNA from 1 species
GACAGAGGAUGCAAGCGUUAUCCGGAAUGAUUGGGCGUAAAGCGUCUGUAGGUGGCUUUUUAAGUCCGCCGUCAAAUCCCAGGGCUCAACCCUGGACAGGCGGUGGAAACUACCAAGCUGGAGUACGGUAGGGGCAGAGGGAAUUUCCGGGUGGAGCGGUGAAAUGCGCAGAUAUCAGGAGGAACACCGGUGGCGAAGGCGGGUCUCUGGGCAAUAACUGACGCUGAGGAGCGAAAGCGUGGGGAGCGAACAGG